rnacentral:misc_RNA from 1 species
UCCUGGUUAACCCAGGCAGUCUCGCUAGAGUUCCCACCUUAAAUGUUGGCAACUAGCGAUAAGGGUUGCGCUCGUUGCGGGACUUAACCCAACACCUCACGGCACGAGCUGACGACAGCCAUGCAGCACCUGUGCAGAAGUCCCGAAGGAACAUAGCAUUUCUGCUAUUGUCUUCUGCAUGUCAAGUCUGGGUAAGGUUCUUCGCGUUGCAUCGAAUUAAACCACAUGCUCCACUGCUUGUGCGGGUCCCCGUCAAUUCUUUUGAGUUUCACCCUUGCGGGCGUACUCCCCAGGCGGCAUACUUAACGCGUUCGCUACGGCACAGUCGGGGUUGAGUCCGACUACACCAAGUAUGCAUCGUUUACGGCUAGGACUAC